UACAGAGGGGGCAAGCGUUGUUCGGAAUUACUGGGCGUAAAGGGCGCGUAGGUGGCCUGCUAAGUCGAACGUGAAAUCCCCCGGCUUAACCUGGGAACUGCGUCUGAUACUGGGAGGCUUGAGUAUGGGAGAGGGAUGUAGAAUUCCAGGUGUAGCGGUGAAAUGCGUAGAUAUCUGGAGGAAUACCGGUGGCGAAGGCGGCAUCCUGGACCAUAACUGACGCUGAGGCGCGAAAGCUAGGGGAGCAAACGGG
rnacentral:rRNA from 1 species